GAUGAACGCUGGCGGCGUGCCUAAUACAUGCAAGUCGAGCGAACAGACGAGGAGCUUGCUCCUCUGACGUUAGCGGCGGACGGGUGAGUAACACGUGGAUAACCUACCUAUAAGACUGGGAUAACUUCGGGAAACCGGAGCUAAUACCGGAUAAUAUAUUGAACCGCAUGGUUCAAUAGUGAAAGACGGUUUUGCUAUCACUUAUAGAUGGAUCCGCGCCGCAUUAGCUAGUUGGUAAGGUAACGGCUUACCAAGGCAACGAUGCGUAGCCGACCUGAGAGGGUGAUCGGCCACACUGGAACUGAGACACGGUCCAGACUCCUACGGGGGGCAGCAGUAGGGAAUCUUCCGCAAUGGGCGAAAGCCUGACGGAGCAACGCCGCGUGAGUGAUGAAGGUCUUCGGAUCGUAAAACUCUGUUAUUAGGGAAGAACAAAUGUGUAAGUAACUAUGCACGUCUUGACGGUACCUAAUCAGAAAGCCACGGCUAACUACGUG
rnacentral:rRNA from 1 species